CAAGAUUCCACAGACUUUAGCUGAGUCAGGAUUCUAAGGCAGUUGGAAACCUCUCUCUCUCAAGCUAGUCAGACUUGAAGGUGUGCCUAAUAUCUCCCUGAAGAACCAAUUGAGAAACUGCCAAGGAUUUUGGUUGAGUGAGUGUUCCCCUUCACAGUGGUGGACAUUGUAAAUGGUGAGAACAUUCUCCCUUUUUGGACAUUGUGAGGACACUACAACUUGAUCCUGCUGUCUGAACCAGCCAUCUGGAGUUUGAAAUUAUAAAUGAAACAUUGAUAGAGAGGCAGAGUCAAGACACAACAAAAGUCCAGGCCUUUGAAAGCCUUUCCAAACCAAUCAAAAGCACAAUGCUUUGAGGGGACAGAAAACCAAAUCCAACAACAGGACAGAGCUAGAGAACCCUCCUGUUGGACUCAACUUAAAAGGUAAUGAACAAAGAUCAAAUGGAACAGAGGAGGACCGAGGAAAAAUAAGCAAAAAUACAGAGACUCCAGCAAAUUGGACACAGGCUUUUAAAAACCCAAAAUACAAUUCAAAAAACAAUUAAGAGAGGUUGAAAACAACUGGGAAAAGAACAUAAAAAACAAAAUAAGCCAUCUUAAAACAGAAAAUAAUGUCUUGAAAGCCAAAAUUAACCAGCUUGAAAAUGAGGCAAAGGAGAUGAAAGAUUAGGCAAAAAAAGAUGAAAAAUAAGACAAAGAAGAUGAAAGAUGACUUGCAAAGAAAAUCAGACCAGAGGGAGAAGGAUGACCAAAAAGCCAGGGAUGAAAUUCAGUCUUUAAAAACUAGAAUCCAACAACUAGAUGCAAAUGACUUCACAAGGCAGCAGGAAGCUAUAACACAAAAUCAAUAUAAUGAAAAAAUUGAGUAAAACAUGAAACACAUCUUUGACAAAAACAAAGACCUUGAAAGCAGAUUCAGAAGAGACAAUUUAAGAAUUAUAGGACUACCAAAAGAUCAUGACAAAAGAAAAAGCCUAGGCAUCAUUCCACAGGAAAUUAUCCAAGAAAACUGCCCCAACAUUCUAGAGCAAGAGAGAAACUUGGCAAUUUAAAGAAUUCACAGAUCACCUCAUGUACUUACUCCUCGAUUGACAAUGCCCAGGAAAGAUACAGGGAAACUCAAGAACUACUAGACCAAGGGAAAAAAAUAUUACAAGUUGCUAAUAAGGAAUCAUUCAGAUUCCAUGGAACCACAGUUAGGAUAACACAGGAUCUGCUUGCAUCUACACUGAAGGACUGAAAGGCAUGGAAUAUGAUAUUCCAGAAAGCAAGGGAACUGCCUCUAAAACCAAGAAUCAACAACCCUGCAAAACUGACUAUAUUCUUGCAGAAGAAAGUAUGGUCAUUUAAUAAAAUAGAAGACUUUCAAGCAUUCAUAAAGAAAAGACCAGACUUCAACAGAAAAUUUAAUGCCCAAACACAGAACUCAAGAGAAUCACCAAAAGGUAAUUAAAAAAGGGGAAACAAACAAACAAAAAAAACCCUUUUAAAGGGACUCAAUAAGUUAAAAUGAUUGGUAUUCCUAUAAAAAAAAGGUGAUAUUGGUAAUGCUUAAAAAUUGUAAUUAUCACCUGGCUAUCUAGAAGAAUUCUACUUAGAGGGAACAGUGACUCACUGAUUGGGAUAAAAUAGGUGUAU